AGAAGGCAGCCAAUCAAUGAUUCUCUCUCAUCAUUGAUGUUUCUAUCUCUCUCCCUCUAUCUGAAAUCAAUAAAAAUAUAUUUGGGGAAAAAUAUAUUUAAGAAAUAGUAAUUGAAUGUUUAGCAUUUGCUAUGCACUAGAUACCAUACUGAUAACUUUAUAUGCAUUGUUCCUUCUACUCUAUAAUUUUUGAGGGCUGUCAUAUCUCCAUGUAAAAAAGAAACUGGAAUUCAGAGAGCAUGAGCGACUUGCUCAUGGUUACACAGAUUGGUAAAGACCGAAUCCAUCUCUAGACCUGAGUGUUGAGCAUGGAAUGUGCUAGUGCCAUACAGCUAAUGGGGAGGAAAAGCAGGGCCUUGUGAACAGAGUCUUGGGCAAGAAGGAUGAAAGGUCUGAGUUUGAGUUCUAAGUCUGCUGCUGUUCAUCUGGGCAGUCAUGGGCGAAUCUGUUAACCUUUCAUGCUGUUGGUUCCUUAUUAUAAAAUGAGGCUGGUACCAUUUGGCCUGAUAGCUCACAGGAGAGGACCCCCAAAACUGGAGAGCUCCAUACAAAGGCAAGGCACCGUUCUUCAUGUUAGAAUUAGAACCCCAGCCCUAUGUCAUGACACCUCACAGCAGUGCCCAGAAGUUCUGGUAUCUCCCCUUGCUCCCAUCCUCCAGCCACAGCUGCCGGAGCAACUUGGUUAGGAAGAGAUUUGUUCAUGGAGAAUGUACCCUACAAGUAUCUCCCUUUCCUUAUCAUGUAAAAACUCAUUAGGUGAAAACAAGCUAUGCUUUCCAAGGAGUAUCUUUCUGAGCACCCGCUCACCGGCUAUUGGGCAAAGUGGUUGUCACUCAGUAAAGAGAUUAGUAGCGGCCCUGAGAGAGAGUGACUAACAAACAACCUUCCCUCACCCUGGAGUAAACAGGACUUUUAGAGGGAAGGUUCUGGGGCAGUUUGUGGCCAAGACAGAAUUGAUUUGCCCUUGUGUCAGAGGUCAUCACUAUCAUGACAAUUGCCAUUUACCAACUGCCUCAUAUAGGACAGGUACAUUCAUUAUAUUAUUUCCAACCCUCACAAUAGCCCUGUGAAGUAGUUUCAUUCCCAUUUUACAAAGGGAGAAAUAGGUUCGUGGAAAACUGCCCAGGACCUCAGAGCUAGUAACUUCCACCCCGGUCUUCCUGCCAUGUCAUCUGUUCCCUGUCAUCAGUCAGCCAGUUUCAGAGUGCCCUUGGCCCUCCUGUGUUCCCGUCCUCUCUGUCAAUCAUCCAAACCAGAACCACUCAGAGCAUGGAGGACGCAGGCAGGAUGGAAGUCCUACAGUUCUAAAGCUCACACCCACAAUCGGGGCGGGAUCUGGGCUGGGACUAACCCUCUGUCCCUGCUUUUUCUUUUUUUCCGACAAUUUAUUAAAGCCUUAUUUUCUUUUCUAUUCUCUCAGUCCUGGGUUUCUGUUUAGUUGUGAUGAUAGAUAUCAUAUUUUUGGAACUUUUGAUCCCGUGGAGUACAGAUUUAGAAUUCAUGGGAGAUAAGGAAGCUAUAAAAUGUAGUGGGACUUGAAAUGCACCAAACGUGCCUUUUCAGUCUCAUUUACAGGCUCUCAGUCAACUUAUUUUGGAAUACUGAGGUCGGUGAUGUAGUCACUGCAUUGCUCAUGUAAUCACCAGAUUUUAUUUAGAGAACCAUAACGGGCAAAAUGGAAAGGGUACAAAUAUGUUGUUCUUUUUCAUUUCGAAUUUUUGAAAGAAAUUUUUUUGGAAAACUCUUUUUAACUUCCCUAAAUAUCACUUCCUUUAGGAUAAAUAUAUAGCUAUAAAAAUGAUACCUUGCAAACUUUUCUUUAUCAUGACCUUAAUCAAAGGAGAGUGAAUAAAUUAUUGCUCCACAGCUCCUCCUUUUAGAAAAUAGUUUCCAACCAGACAUGUUGUCUAUCUCACCACCAUAACCCCCUUCAUAUCUGGACAGGAAAUGCCCACCAACUACACAGCCUGGCUCCGGGGGAGAAAAGAAAGAAGGUUCGCAUGGAAUUCUGUCCCUGGGCUGAUCUUGUGUUUCUCCUAUGGCAUUUCUUUAUGCGUAAAUAAUGCCUGUUUACUUGCAGACUCUAACCUUUUGGUGAGUUCAAGGGGGAGAGGGGGUUAGAGCCACAUUUCUAUGCAUUUUCCUUAUGUUUCUGCUUCUGUGGAAAAGCCACCCAGUUCCAGCACUGGCACUCCCUGCCCAGGGGCCCUGCUUUCUUCGUGUCCCGCCUGUGGGCACACCGUCAGCACAGGCAGGUGGCAUAUUCAGCUCCAGCUCGUGUCAUCUCUGCUGUUGUUAUUGUGGUGCUUGCUACUUAGGAACGAAGACUUCCAGGGCAGGUCAGCUGGCUGCAGGGAGCUUUCAGGCUGUGUCCUUAGCAGUCACCUGACUAGCAGGCUACCUGUGAGAGUGUCUGCAGUUCACUGAGGACACCGCCUUCCCAGCUGCUGUAAACAAGUCCAAGUGACCCAUCUCAUUACUCAAACCAGGUCUCCUCAUGGCUAAGGUUCUUAGCAAACUGAGUUAUCUUAGACUUUAAAAGAAAAAGUUGGGGUCAGAAGAAAGCAGUUCCAGGGACCUACAUGCCCCACCACUGAGACCCAUUUCCUCAGGGAGGUCCGAUUGGCCUUCUCUGAGUCCGUUUGCCACCAGGCUGGCACAUCCUGCCAGUGGCUCUGGGUUGCUGCCCAGGCUCCCAGGCAGGAGUCCUCAGGCUCCCUUUGCAUAGCUUCUCUCAUGGUGGCCUGGGAAGCCUCAGGAGGAACAAGUCUCUUGAGAAGGCAGGCCCUGUUAACUAGGGUUUGGGUUUGCUUUUGCUCCCUGAGGCCCCAAGCUACCCUCUGCCCCAUAUAGUAGUCACCCUUGUCCUUAUCCCCAGGGGCUGAGAUACCCAGUGGAUGUCUGAAAUCGCAGAUAAUACCAAAACCCUACAUCUACUAUGUUUUUUCCUAUACAUACAUAACUAUAAUGAAAUUUAAUUCAUAAAUUAGGCACAAUAAGAGGUUAACAACAAUAACUAAUAAUAGAAGAUAAUUAUAAAAAUACGCUGUAAUAAAGGUUAUAUGAAUGUGGUCUCUCUCUCAAAGUAUACUAUUAUACGGUACUGACCUUCCUUCUUCUGAUGAUAUGAGGUGAUAAAAUGCCUAGGUGAUGAAUUGAAGUGAGUUGAAUGACCUAGGCGUUGUGACGUAGUGUUCCGCUGCCUCUGACCCUCUGACCAGUACAUCCAAAGGAGCGUCAUCUGCUUCGAGUGAUCCUGGAGCAUCAGGCCAUGGCCAUGUUGACGGUCAGUGUCAGGAGCAGACAGUGUGGGUGGGUGGGGAUCCUCAAUAGUUGAAUUGUUUAUUUCUGAAACAUUUUCGGACCACAGUUGACCAUGAGUAACUGAAACCACGGAGAGCGAACCCGAGGGUCAGGGGGAACACUGUGCUCUGUUCCUUGUUCCUUCUAACCCCCUGCGGCUAGUGUUCCUCCCUCCCACACAGACUCCUUACCUUGAGGCCGAAUGGGCCAGGGCCAAACCAGUUGCACAUUUCAGAGAGUGGUUUUGUAAGAGCCCCCAAGGAGGGCAGUCCGGGGCAACCUCCUCAAAGGGACAGGGCGACUUCUCCUGAAAGCCACGCAGUAGCUUCGCUGGCGGCCAGAGCCGCGGACAGUCAGACGCGUGAACAGUCAGACGCAAUGGGCAUCUCUGCUCUGCUAAACCCAUCUGCCUGCUUUCCCAUUUCCCCUCCAGGAUGCAAGGGAUUGUAUUUAUCUCACACUCCUCUGCCAUGUUUCUUGCAGAAAACUUGGAGUCAUUCUCCCAGAGGUGUGACCUUUUACUAUGUCCUGGGAAUGCUCUGAUGUGGGUGGAGGGGGGGGGGGGGAGGAGGGGGAGGAAGUAGAAGAGAAAGCAGUGCCUCUCAGCUGCCACUCCCACACCCAGGCGUGAUAAUUCUCAAUGAACCAGAGGAGGAGGGGCUGUGAUUUCCAGGAUGAGAGCGUUGGCCAGGCAGUUUGAGGUGAUCCUGAAGCUGUAGCUCGAAGGCCAUACAGCCUCUUGUCCACCAAACAUUACUGAGUCCCCGCAACAUGCCAGGAUUCUAGAGCUAAGAAGUGGGUGAAACCACUACUGCAAAGCCUGCGAGUUGAGAAUCUAAGGCAAGACCCUCAGGGCCAGUGAGGGUUCUGUGUUCAGGGCAGAUGUCCCCUGGCCCUGGCUACCCCCCCCAACACCCCCUUCCCCGGUCCCUGUGGGGGACUGACUGCUCCCUUUGCUGGUUUCUCCCCAGGGGUGGAGAGAGAAGGUUUAAGGAGCAAGCUUCCAGGAGGUGCUUCUCCGCAGGCAAGUCACGCUUGGGAGAAUUCCUUCUUGGGAGAAUUCCUUCGAGUCUCGAUUGGCCUUACACGUCCCCAAAUGUGCUUGCUCUUACAUACGCCCCCUUCCCCUAUGCAUGUUUAGUUUCUGAGCAGACAGACAGCCUGUGGAUGAGGAUCUUUAAGACAAUAGGGCGAUUCUUUUAUUGCCUUUGCUUUUCCUCUAAGUUCCUCUCUUCACUGUCUUUCCUUUUAUCCUGCCUCACUCUUGUCACCUCCCAGAAACCUUAGUGGCUCCUCCCCGCCUGCAGGA